GUUUUGUGAAGAUUUGUGAGAUUUUUGUGUGUUUUUUUGUUUUUGUUUUUGUUUUUUGGUCAUUUCACAUACAAUCCCUAUGGAUGUGUGGAAGGAGACAGGGUGUUUUCAAAACUGACAUUCAGUAGGGGAACUGAUUAGAUUUUUAAAUUAAUGUUUAGUUCCUAAAUAACUUUCCUCUUUCCAGACCACCAUGUCCUUGAAAAGUUAAUUUUGUUUUAUCUCCGGAUCCAAGAGGCUUCACACGACAAUGGCAGUUGAAAGCUUCCCAGGAGUGUUUGUAUUUCACGGAUUCUGGGAUGAUGACUAUGCCAUGUAUUGACUCAAGGACAACAAUCUCUCAAAACGCAAGAAAGGAGUUCAUUGCAAUUUAAAAAAAUAAAUAUUAGCUUGUGACUGAAAAUAAUUUUUUG
rnacentral:lncRNA from 1 species